rnacentral:rRNA from 1 species
UACGUAGGGUCCGAGCGUUGUCCGGAAUUACUGGGCGUAAAGAGCUCGUAGGUGGUUUGUCGCGUUGUUCGUGAAAACUCACAGCUUAACUGUGGGCGUGCGGGCGAUACGGGCAGACUUGAGUACUGCAGGGGAGACUGUAAUUCCUGGUGUAGCGGUGGAAUGCGCAGAUAUCAGGAGGAACACCGGUGGCGAAGGCGGGUCUCUGGGCAGUAACUGACGCUGAGGAGCGAAAGCGUGGGGAGCGAACAGG